rnacentral:rRNA from 1 species
GACGAACGCUGGCGGCGUGCCUAAUACAUGCAAGUAGGACGCAGUUGCGAACGGGUGAGUAACGCGUAGGUAACUACCUAUUAGAGGGGGAUAACUAUUGGAAACGAUAGCUAAUACCGCAUACUAGUAGAUGGACCUGCGUUGUAUUAGCUAGUAGGUAGGGUAAUGGCCUACCUAGGCAACGAUACAUAGCCGAACUGAGAGGGUGAACGGCCACACUGGGACUGGGACACGGCCCCGACUCCUACGGGAGGGCGCAGGAGGGAAUCUUCGGGAAUUGGGGGAACCCUGAACGAGCAACGACGCGGGAGUGAAGAAGGUUUUCGGAUCGUAAAGCGCUGUUGGUAAGGAAGCGGUACUUAACCAGAAAAGGACGGCUAACUACGUGCCAGCAGCCGCGGUAAUUC